rnacentral:rRNA from 1 species
AUUGAACGCUGGCGGCAUGCCUUACACAUGCAAGUCGAACGGUAACGCGGGGCAACCUGGCGACGAGUGGCGAACGGGUGAGUAAUGCAUCGGAACGUGCCCAGUAGUGGGGGAUAGCUCGGCGAAAGCCGGAUUAAUACCGCAUACGACCUACGGGUGAAAGCGGGGGACCGUAAGGCCUCGCGCUAUUGGAGCGGCCGAUGUCAGAUUAGGUUGUUGGUGGGGUAAAGGCCUACCAAGCCGACGAUCUGUAGCUGGUCUGAGAGGACGACCAGCCACACUGGGACGGAGACACGGCCCAGACUCCUACGGGAGGCAGCAGUGGGGAAUUUUGGACAAUGGGGGCAACCCUGAUCCAGCCAUGCCGCGUGCGGGAAGAAGGCCUUCGGGUUGUAAACCGCUUUUGUCAGGGAAGAAACGCUUCGAGCUAAUACCUCGAGGUAAUGACGGUACCUGAAGAAUAAGCACCGGCUAACUACGUGCCAGCCGCCGCAGUAACAC